rnacentral:lncRNA from 1 species
ACUAUAUCACACUUCUUCACCUUGAAGUUGCAAAGUUGCUUAUUUACCCUGGUGAAUGAAGAAAGGUGUUUCGAUGUCAGCAAAAGACAGCACACACACUGGACCUGGAGGAUACUUUUACCUGGAGGAAACAAAAACACCAUUUUUAACAGACCCAAUGUAACCCACAUCAACUAUAAUGCAACAGGACCAGUGGCAGACAUGUCUUAUCCAGCCUGUUUGUAAUCUGCUUUAAAGAGGGAGGAGCUGACUACGGAGGCCUGGGAAAUUCACUGACUGAAGAUAUCUUUACCAGCUGGUGCUGCAGACGACCACCUUGUACCCAAACCAGCAACCAACUCACAAGUCAAGGUAAGUCUGCUGUCAGUAAAACAAAAACUUAGGUAAUUUUGAGAAGUGUGA